AGCUCACUCUCCUCCUUCUCUCUUUGCCCAGAUUGCCAGGGAGCACGGUAUUAGGUUUUUCGAAACUAGUGCAAAAGCAAAUAUAAACAUUGAGAAGGCAUUCCUCACGUUAGCAGAAGACAUUCUUCGAAAGACCCCUGUAAAAGAGCCCAACAGUGAAAAUGUAGAUAUCAGCAGUGGCGGUGGGGUGACGGGCUGGAAGAGCAAGUGCUGCUGAACCUUCUCCUCUCUCACCAAUCGCCAUCCACCGCCCCUUUUUUCUCGCUGCAAAACAAACCACUCUGCCCGUUUUUUUUAACCUUAAACCGAUGUUUUGUUCCUCAUCUUAACGAGCUCCUGCCUCCCCCCCUGGUUUUCCGGCUAGGACAGCUUUGCCUACUCCAGUUUUCUCAACCACAUGUAUAGGAAAUCCAUCUCCGUGACUUCAUUUUUCCAUGUUCCUGCUCAGCUCACCACUACUGUUUGGGUUGUAUGAUAGCCCCGUCCCUCCUGCCAUUAAACCCCAGAGCAAUCAUACUCAACUCUUCUGCAAAUUGUAUAAGAAUAAAAGUUAGAAUUAACAAUUGAUUUUGUACAACAGUGGAAUUUUCUGUCCUGGAUCAUGUGCUUGAGUCCCCAUGUUCUCUUAAGACGCAUCAGCAAGAGCCAGGAAAACACUCAUUUUCGCCUUGAGUCCAUGAGUGGGGUUUCUUUGUCCUGUGCCUUAUGUGGAAAAAGGAACUUUUAUUUUCACUUUCUUUUCUUUUUCUUCUGGUGGAAGCAUGUGCAGGAGACAUCCCAUCCCCCCCUGUGCCAUUGAGUCCCAACCUCUGUAGUGAUUGCUUUCUGUACCCCUUGGUGUCAUGCAUCGAGGACAAAGGGUGGUGCAAAACAAAAAGCAGAAUCCCUGUGACCUGCUGUGUCUCCUCUUGGCGAUCCCAACUCUUCCCGCUGCCAUUUUCUUUUCUCACUUUGCCGCUCUUUCCUUUUUUGGUUAUUUUAUUUUAUAUUUUUUUUGUUGUUUUUUUUGUUGUUGUUUUUUUGGUUUUGGUUUUGGUUUUUCUUUUUUGCCUGCAUGCUGCUUUGAUUUGCAUUUCUUCAUGGUGUGAUGUGUUAACGAAAAGGAUGGCAACGCGGAGUGUUUGCCAAAAAAAACUGUAAUGCAAAGCACUGAUGUAGGUCCCGAGGUAACGAUGUGGAGAUCCCGACUAACCCCUCUAGCCGUGUCCUCAUAGCGACCCCCUCCCGCACAGCCCCCCUAUGGAAGAGUUAUUUGCAUGCACUAGUUUCUCUGGAGGGUGAUGUGGUUGUCUACUUUUCUGUGUAUGAAUAUAACAUGCGACUCCCAAACCGACAGCAGUUCAUUAAUUAAUUAGCUCCGAGCUCCGAGGGUCCCUCCCCGUCAGCCGCUCCGAGGGGUUCGGGAGCCGAGCGGAACUGGACCGAGAGAGAAAAGAGAGGAAAAAAAACCCCAAACCAGCCAGCUGGCAGUUUAAUUUAUUACCUCCCUGCAAGCGUUGGCAGCCGAGCGGGGCCAGCCCUGCCCCGGAUCCCGGCGCUCCGGGAGCUGAUCCCGGCCGGGACUGGCUGCUCCAGCUUUGCCCUCCUGCGCUGGUGUCACCCGUGGCUCCGUCCUGGCUGAAGGAGGGCUCGGUUCUGCCGGUCCCAGAGCCCGCGGGAGCCGCCGUGUUCGAUCCGUGUUCGAUCCGUGUUCAUCCCACCUGGAGCCGGAGCUCUGGCCACGGACACGCCGAGGGUGGACACGCUGCUGCCUCCCCAGCUGCUGCCUCCCCAGCCCCGCCCGCUCCUCCCGGGACAAGCCGGUGCCUCCUGGUGCCCGCGGGGCCGGGACUGUCCGCUCGGCCCUGGCGGCACUGGGGUAACGCUGAGUGAAUUUUAAUGAUGAAAUGACGGUGUUUUUCAGUGGAACUCCUCGUUCCUUCGGAGCGGCUUCCCCGGAGCGACCCGCCGAGGCGUCUCCUCCCCCUGUAGUAACUCACCGAGGUGUCUCCCUGCCCCUCUGUAGCUGGCAUUUUGUCCCCGUGUGUGUUAACCCUUCCCAGGCGAGUGGCCGGCGGGGCCGGGCCGGGCGCUCAGCGUUGGGCAGAGCCCGGCCGCUUUUGGUUAAAUCUGCACUUUUCUGACGUGAUCAAAAAAGGGAAAAAAAAAAAAAUGGCGAAUAUGCAUCAAGGGGGUUUUUUUUGUAUAAUCCUUGUUUUAAACGUGAGCUUCUUACCUGCUCCCAGGGGCUCGGCUCCCUCCGUGUGACCCCUCUGUAGACGCCGUGCCCGGUGCGAGCCCCAGGUGGAGCCCGAGCCACUCGCUGGUCCCUCUCGCUGCCGCCCCCGUCCCCCUCCCCCUGCCCGGUUAAUAAACUGAAAUCUUUCUAUUUGGUCUAUUUUCUGUUCCUGUCCAACCACGAGCUGUACCCACGGGCGUGGGCUCGAGCAGCACGAGUCGGUGCCGAAAAGAGAGAAAAAAACACCACCCCCCCCCCCAAAAAAAAAAAAAAAAACCGAUGUUGGAGGAAUUUGCGGUGAUUUGAUUUGUGCUGGUGUCUGAGCUCCCUGCUGGUCCCAGCCUGCCUGGGAAGGCCCUGCUGGGCUCCCGGCCCUGCCCACGGGGGGGGGGGGGCUCGGCGCUGCCUUCCUGCCACAAAAACAGUGUUAAAACGAUUCAAUCGGGCCCGACAAACCAAACCUGAGCUUGGCUCUGCCCCACGAGUGUCACGGGCCGUGGGGGCCGUGGUCACCGCGGCGCCUCGUGCCCUCGGACGGUGGAAUAAUAAAACAGCAUCAAGGUCUUGGAUUAAUUCCCAUGCGACAAUUUUUUACUUAAUCUUUUAAUAUUUUUGCUACUCCACUCUGGCUUUUUAUUUAAAACACAUUCUUUUGUACCACUUACUGUAUCAAAUUGUAUAAAAGAUCACUGUCCCAUUCUUGGUCGUACCAAGAGCAAAUAAAAGCUUUUAUAAACUUGCA